UACGUAGGGUGCAAGCGUUGUCCGGAUUUAUUGGGCGUAAAGAGCUCGUAGGCGGUUUGUCGCGUCGGAUGUGAAAACCCAGGGCUCAACCCUGGGCCUGCAUUCGAUACGGGCAGACUAGAGUAUGGCAGGGGAGACUGGAAUUCCUGGUGUAGCGGUGAAAUGCGCAGAUAUCAGGAGGAACACCGGUGGCGAAGGCGGGUCUCUGGGCCGAUAUUGACGCUGAGGAGCGAAAGCGUGGGGAGCGAACAGG
rnacentral:rRNA from 1 species